AGUGAACGCUGGCGGUAGGCCUAACACAUGCAAGUCGAACGGCAGCACAGUAAGAGCUUGCUCUUACGGGUGGCGAGUGGCGGACGGGUGAGGAAUACAUCGGAAUCUACUUUUUCGUGGGGGAUAACGUAGGGACACUUACGCUAAUACCGCAUACGGCCUACGGGUGAAAGCAGGGGAUCUUCGGACCUUGCGCGAUUGAAUGAGCCGAUGUCGGAUUAGCUAGUUGGCGGGGUAAAGGCCCACCAAGGCGACGAUCCGUAGCUGGUCUGAGAGGAUGAUCAGCCACACUGGAACUGAGACACGGUCCAGACUCCUACGGGAGGCAGCAGUGGGGAAUAUUGGACAAUGGGCGCAAGCCUGAUCCAGCCAUACCGCGUGAGUGAAGAAGGCCUUCGGGUUGUAAAGCCCUUUUGUUGGGAAAGAAAAGCAGCAGGUUAAUACCCCGCUGUUCUGACGGUACCCAAAGAAUAAGCACCGGCUAACUUCGUG
rnacentral:rRNA from 1 species